GCAGUCGCCGCGGUAAUACGUAGGGUGCAAGCGUUAAUCGGAAUUACUGGGCGUAAAGCGUGCGCAGGCGGUUUGUUAAGACAGAUGUGAAAUCCCCGGGCUCAACCUGGGAACUGCAUUUGUGACUGGCAAGCUAGAGUAUGGCAGAGGGGGGUGGAAUUCCGCGUGUAGCAGUGAAAUGCGUAGAUAUGCGGAGGAACACCGAUGGCGAAGGCAGCCCCCUGGGCCAAUACUGACGCUCAUGCACGAAAGCGUGGGGAGCAAACAGGAUUAGAUACCCCCGUAGUCCCUGUCUCUUAUAC
rnacentral:rRNA from 1 species